UACGUAGGGGGCAAACGUUGCUCGGAAUUACUGGGCGUAAAGGGUGUGUAGGCGGCUGGGCAAGUCAAAGAUGAAAUCCCGAGGCUCAACUUCGGAAUGGUCUUUGAAACUGCCUAGCUUGAGGAUAGUUGAAGAGAAUGGAAUUCCCGGUGGAGCGGUGAAAUGCGUAGAUAUCGGGAGGAACACCUGAGGCGUAGGCGAUUCUCUAAGCUACUCCUGACGCUGAAACACGAAAGCUAGGGGAG
rnacentral:rRNA from 1 species